rnacentral:rRNA from 1 species
CCUACGGGGGGCAGCAGUGGGGAAUAUUGCACAAUGGGCGAAAGCCUGAUGCAGCGACGCCGCGUGAGCGAAGAAGGCCUUCGGGUCGUAAAGCUCUGUCCUAUGGGAAGAAGAAUGACGGUACCAUAGGAGGAAGCCCCGGCUAACUACGUGCCAGCAGCCGCGGUAAUACGUAGGGGGCGAGCAUUGUCCGGAAUGACUGGGCGUAAAGGGUACGUAGGCGGCUAGAUAAGUCAGAUGUGAAAGGCAUAGGCUUAACCUGUGUAAGCAUUUGAAACUGUCUAGCUUGAGUCAAGGAGAGGAAGGUGGGAUGCGGGGGGUAGCGGUGAAAUGGGUAGGUAGCAGGGGGAAUACCAGUGGCGAAGGCGACUUUCUGGACUUAGACUGACGGUGGGGUACGAAAGCGUGGGGAGCAAACAGGAUUAGAUGCCCGAGUAGUC